AACGAAAGCUGGCGGCAUGCCUAACACAUGCAAGUCGAGCGAGACCUUCGGGGCUAGUGGCGCAAGGGGGCGGAAAGCGUAGGAACCUGCCCUUAGGAUCGGAAUAACUCCCCGAAAGGGGUGCUAAGACCGGAUAAUGUCUUCGGACCAAAGAUUUAUCGCCUUUGGAUGGGCCCGCGUGGGAUUAGCUAGUUGGUAGGGUGAAAGCCUACCAAGGCGACGGUCCAUAGCUGGUCUGAGAGGAUGCUCAGCCACACUGGGACUGAGACACGGCCCAGACUCCUACGGGAAGCAGCAGUGGGGAAUAUUGGUCACUGGGCGCAAGCCUGAUCCAGCAAUGCCGCGUGAGUGAUGAAGGCCUUAGGGUUGUAAAGCUCUUUUACCCGGGAUGAUAAUGACAGUACCGGGAGAAUAAGCUCCGGCUAACUCCGUG
rnacentral:rRNA from 1 species